AUAAAGUAAAGUUAUGCAGCAAUGGUUCCCCUUUUCGUAAGUUUCAAAUAUAUUACUUCUGGUUAGACCUUACAGGUAGAAUAUUAAGUUUAAACUGUUGCUUCGUAUCUUUUUGCCAUGCAGGGACACUUUCUUUCAGCAUAUUUCCAGACAACGUGGUUCAGAUGAAGAUGAGGUCUCGUUCGACUGCCCAGUUUAAAGCAUUUGUUGGAAAAGUGAUCUUAAAGUCCUCACCUGGGAGACGGUCAACAGAUCCAAACGAAGGAGGUCUGGCAUGGUGGGUAAAGAGGGAGGAGCCACAGGACAACCUGGGUAAACACAACAGGGUCAUCUGAGGUUCAAACCAAGGAAACCUACGACAAGUCGGGGCAAGUCCAGUCAUGACGCGUCGCUUCAGGGACCGUGGGACUUCACAGGCACGUUUCUGCUCGUACAUCGUCUCUUUAAGGAGAAAUGUGCCAGAAUAUUUCUUGACCUGAAGCAAGAGAGAGCUGCAGGGAAGACAUGCAUGAAUUCAACAGGUGUCCUGAAUCCAACUUAAAAGCCAUAACUUGAAAUUAUUUAUAUGGCAAUUUACAUUCUUAAAAUCAUUGUCGAUUGAUUCUCUGUUGAUUGAAGAUUAACCGACUAAUUCUUCAAGCAUUAGUUAAGACA